CCUACGGGGGGCUGCAGUGAGGAAUAUUGGUCAAUGGACGAGAGUCUGAACCAGCCAAGUAGCGUGAAGGAUGACUGCCCUAUGGGUUGUAAACUUCUUUUAUAAAGGAAUAAAACGAGGCACGUGUGCCUUUUUGUAUGUACUUUAUGAAUAAGGAUCGGCUAACUCCGUGCCAGCAGCCGCGGUAAUACGGAGGAUCCGAGCGUUAUCCGGAUUUAUUGGGUUUAAAGGGAGCGUAGAUGGGUUGUUAAGUCAGUUGUGAAAGUUUGCGGCUCAACCGUAAAAUUGCAAUUGAUACUGGCAGUCUUGAGUACAGUUGAGGUAGGCGGAAUUCGUGGUGUAGCGGUGAAAUGCUUAGAUAUCACGAAGAACCCCGAUUGCGAAGGCAGCUUACUAAACUGUGACUGACAUUGAGGCUCGAAAGUGUGGGUAUCAAACAGGAUUAGAUACCCUGGUAGUC
rnacentral:rRNA from 1 species